GAUGAACGCUGGCGGCGUGCUUAACACAUGCAAGUCGAACGGUGAAGCCAAGCUUGCUUGGUGGAUCAGUGGCGAACGGGUGAGUAACACGUGAGCAACCUGCCCUGGACUCUGGGAUAAGCGCUGGAAACGGUGUCUAAUACUGGAUAUGAGAUGUGAUCGCAUGGUCAUGUUUGGAAAGAUUUUUCGGUCUGGGAUGGGCUCGCGGCCUAUCAGCUUGUUGGUGAGGUAAUGGCUCACCAAGGCGUCGACGGGUAGCCGGCCUGAGAGGGUGACCGGCCACACUGGGACUGAGACACGGCCCAGACUCCUACGGGAGGCAGCAGUGGGGAAUAUUGCACAAUGGGCGGAAGCCUGAUGCAGCAACGCCGCGUGAGGGAUGACGGCCUUCGGGUUGUAAACCUCUUUUAGCAGGGAAGAAGCGAAAGUGACGGUACCUGCAGAAAAAGCGCCGGCUAACUACGUGCCAGCAGCCGCGGUAAUACGUAGGGCGCAAGCGUUAUCCGGAAUUAUUGGGCGUAAAGAGCUCGUAGGCGGUUUGUCGCGUCUGCUGUGAAAUCCCGAGGCUCAACCUCGGGUCUGCAGUGGGUACGGGCAGACUAGAGUGCGGUAGGGGAGAUUGGAAUUCCUGGUGUAGCGGUGGAAUGCGCAGAUAUCAGGAGGAACACCGAUGGCGAAGGCAGAUCUCUGGGCCGUAACUGACGCUGAGGAGCGAAAGGGUGGGGAGCAAACAGGCUUAGAUACCCUGGUAGUCCACCCCGUAAACGUUGGGAACUAGUUGUGGGGACCAUUCCACGGUUUCCGUGACGCAGCUAACGCAUUAAGUUCCCCGCCUGGGGAGUACGGCCGCAAGGCUAAAACUCAAAGGAAUUGACGGGGACCCGCACAAGCGGCGGAGCAUGCGGAUUAAUUCGAUGCAACGCGAAGAACCUUACCAAGGCUUGACAUACACCAGAACACCGUAGAAAUAUGGGACUCUUUGGACACUGGUGAACAGGUGGUGCAUGGUUGUCGUCAGCUCGUGUCGUGAGAUGUUGGGUUAAGUCCCGCAACGAGCGCAACCCUCGUUCUAUGUUGCCAGCACGUAAUGGUGGGAACUC
rnacentral:rRNA from 1 species